GUCUGGGCUGUGUGCCAGCACUCACAAUGAUAAGAGUCCUGGGCUUGGCCAACCCAGCUGCUUUCUUGUGGGAGAGUUAGCACCAAGACCCUCAUGGUCUGAGGGAACACAGAGGCUCUUGGGGGGUGGGGGUCAGGGGUUCUGGUCCUUGGAAUGCUGGUCAUAAAGGAAUGAUCUCCCUUGGCAAGUAUGCAGCCUUUGUUUCUCUGCCUGCUUAAGUCAAGCUUCUUUCUGUGAGGUAGCGGAUGCACAUUGCUGCCUAGCCCGCCGCCAUGGGACCUUCCCUCUUUCCUGCAGAGGUUCACCCAGGACCACUCCAUGACAAUUCAGGCUGCCUGGCUCCUUUGGCUGGACAGUGACUUCUGAACCAGCACGUUUAUUUCAGGACAGGAAGCAAAUGCAGCCUCACUCAGACAUGUGACUGGAAAAGACAAGGAUAUUUUAAAAUCUUUUACAUAACUGAGAAUAUUCUUCUUCGAUACUAAACGGAAACCUGGGAACAGGUGGUUUCUUAAAGCGUAGAUUGUGUGCCAUCACUGCAAAUGUCAACAGAGUGAACAAGGGAAAUGAUAUCCAAGUGUUAUUAUGAAAAGACUUUUGCCUUAGUGGACUAGACGAGAGGGUCUUGGAGACCCACAGAGCUCUGAGGACCACACUUUGGGAACAGCCAUGUUAGACAGUGUACCAAGCCGUUCACAGACAUUAUUGCAUGCCAUCUUCACAGCAAACCAUGAGCUACUCUCUGGUAUUAAUGCCAAUUUUGGAUUCAAUCAUAUUAAGCUUUUGGAGAGAUUUGAAUGCUGGACCUUUUCCACUUUCCUUGGGUUCUUUGACGACUUCAGGCGACUUGUUUGCAGGAUGUUAUUGGAUAAGAUUGCAUCUCUGAGUCCAUUCAAACAGUCAAGGGUAAAGGAGAAAUAAAGCACUUGGUCAGAUUGUCAGAAGCAAGCUGACAUUGAUAAAGAAGUUCGCGGAGUUUGUCUGUGGCGGUGCUUUUGACUCCAGUGCUAAAGGAUUGUCAACAAGGAUUAAUAUUCAUGGAAAACAAGAACUGCCGUGUAAUGCAGGUAGGCUCACUCACAGUGGCAUCCUCGCAGUCACCUGUGUGCUAGUGAGUGACCUGGGAUUUUUCUCCUCUUCCACCAAGUCAACUUUAGCCCAACAACCUCAAAACGAAUGAGCAACCACUGAUUUUCCAUGUUAAGUAUGCCUUAGCUAUCAUUAUAGCAUUAUUUGACUCUUAAUUACAAUCCGUGAUGUCAGAAAAAUACCUCACGUUACCUCCUUCUCUACUCUGGCAUUUGAAAACCUCAGAACUGUAAUUAAAAUGCAAAAAGAAAAAAAGUGUUACCAUAACAUAAAAGCCUUCACAGUUCAGGCAAUAUUUCCUCGUCUUCUAUUCAUUUUUCCCAAUUUUCUCUGCAUGAAUCGAUGUUGUCAAUAUAGUUUCAAUUAUGUUAAAUACAAGCAAUAAAUGGUGUCUACGCAGGUGUUUGUCCAAGCAAUAUUAUAUAACUAAGAAAGCUUCUUAUUUUAUUCUAUUUUAUUUAUUCUACUCUUAUUUAGUGGAAUUAUUCUUUUUCCUUCUCAGCCCUGUGCCUCAUGGUAUGGAGGACAGAACACCUACUCUUCCAUGCUGCCCUACAUGUUUGAAAAUGAAGAUGAUGACUCUGUGUGUGUGUGUGUGUGUGUGUGUGUGUGUGUGUGUGUGUGUGUUGUGGGGAGGGAUAUUUGUCUUCAGGCCACUGUGGCUCACUGAUAAAGUGUCAGCAGCUAAAUUUUCAAGUAUCCUUCCUAUUUUCAGAGUGAAGACAAUGAUCUCAGCAUGGUGCCCUAACUCUGCUCCCAAAGUCUCCUUAGAAGUGAGCCCAGAGAUGGUGGGAGACUUACCUUUUGUCCACUCGUCAGCCAUUCUUCUCUCUUUCCCAAACAGUGUGUUUGAAACUGUGUCCUAAUUACAGUUUGAUAAGUAUUCAUUGAUUUGUUGAUUGCUUCUUUCUUUAUUUUGUAUAUAGAUUCAUUCAUUCCUUUGUAUGAAAUUAGUUAAUUCAUAAACUUGGUUAAUAUUUAUUACUUUUUUAAUAUGACACAGGCACUAAAAUAAGUAAAAGCAUCUCAAAAAUGAAAACAAAAAUAAGUCUCUGUCCUUCAAGAUCUUCCAGUGAGGGAUAAAUACAGGUUGGCUCAAUUUUUUAAAUAUUUGCAAUACGAAAAUACCAAAUAUGAUUAGAGAGGUAUACACAGAGUGCAAGGAGCACAGAGAGGGGGCCCAGAGGAGUGGGUGAAGUAUUGUUUAACUGAAUCUUAAA
rnacentral:lncRNA from 1 species